rnacentral:rRNA from 1 species
CUCGUAGGUGGCCAACUAAGUCAGACGUGAAAUCCCCAGGCUCAACUUGGGAACUGCGUCUGAUACUGGAUGGCUUGAAUUCGGGAGAGGGAUGCAGAAUUCCAGGUGUAGCGGUGAAAUGCGUAGAUAUCUGGAGGAAUACCGGUGGCGAAGGCGGCAUCCUGGACCGAUAUUGACACUGAUGAGCGAAAGCCCAGGGGAGCAAACG